AACACAGCAACUUUGAAACGUCCUUGGCCUGAUGAGAAAGUGAUUUCUGAGCAGACAUGUGGAGCUGUGCUUUGAAUUUGGGGAAAAGCACAGGUGAAUACGGGGCUGUUUCCAGGACAAGGGGCAGUGAAUUUGCAAAGGAGUCAGGGUAAGAAAAUAUCCCUCAUCUCUUCGUAGAGACUCAGCGGCCAGAGCUGAAGCAUUCAGAGCAGGAAUAACAUAACUGCUAAAGACUGAAAAAGGCUUUAGAGAAGCGAUCUCCUCUCUACCAUGAAAGAUAUCCAUACAUUGUGUACCAGACAGGCAUCAAGCCCUGGGCUGUUGGUGCCUUGCCCUUAAACUCCCAGACGCCCCUACUCCCAACUUUGAGGAACACAUUUCUGUUGUUCAAACGACUCCUCUAUGUAU